UGCUCAAUGAUAUUUAUUAAAUAGCCGCAGUAUUUUGACUGUGCGAAGGUAGCAUAAUCAUUUGUCUUUUAAUUGAAGGCUUGUAUGAAUGGUUGGAUGAGAAAAUUGCUUUCUUUAUAUUAUGUUAUGAAUUUAAUUUUUAGGUUAAAAAGCUUAGAUUUUUAAAUGGGACGAGAAGACCCUAUAGAAUUUUAUUAAUUUACUCUAAUAUGAUCUUUGGGUAUAUAUAAUUUUAUUAGAUUCAAUUAAUUUUGUUGGGGUGAUGGGAAGAUAAUUUYACACUCUUUUAUUGUUUUUUUAUUGAUGAGUAUAUUUAUGAUCCUUUAUUUAGGAUAGACUAG
rnacentral:rRNA from 1 species